rnacentral:rRNA from 1 species
ACGUGUAGGAACUUGACGGUACCGUAAGAAUAAGGAUCGGCUAACUCCGUGCCAGCAGCCGCGGUAAUACGGAGGAUCCAAGCGUUAUCCGGAAUCAUUGGGUUUAAAGGGUCCGUAGGCGGCCUUAUAAGUCAGUGGUGAAAGCCCAUCGCUUAACGAUGGAACGGCCAUUGAUACUGUAGGGCUUGAAUUUUUGUGAAGUAACUAGAAUAUGUAGUGUAGCGGUGAAAUGCUUAGAUAUUACAUGGAAUACCAAUUGCGAAGGCAGGUUACUAACAAACGAUUGACGCUGAUGGACGAAAGCGUGGGGAGCGAACAGGAUUAGAUACCCUGGUAGUCCACGCCGUAAACGAUGGAUACUAGCUGUUUGGAGCAAUCUGAGUGGCUAAGCGAAAGUGAUAAGUAUCCCACCUGGGGAGUACGCACGCAAGUGUGAAACUCAAAGGAAUUGACGGGGGCCCGCACAAGCGGAGGAGCAUGUGGUUUAAUUCGAUGAUACGCGAGGAACCUUACCAGGGCUUAAAUGGGAGACGACAGGACUGGAAACAGUUUUUUCUUCGGACGUCUUUCAAGGUGCUGCAUGGUUGUCGUCAGCUCGUGCCGUGAGGUGUCAGGUUAAGUCCUAUAACGAGCGCAACCCCUAUUGUUAGUUGCCAGCGGGUCAUGCCGGGAACUCUAACAAGACUGCCGGUGCAAACCGUGAGGAAGGUGGGGAUGACGUCAAAUCAUCACGGCCCUUACGUCCUGGGCUACACACGUGCUACAAUGGACGGUACAGAGAGCAGCCACCACGCAAGUGGGCGCGAAUCUUCAAAGCCGUUCUCAGUUCGGAUCGGAGUCUGCAACUCGACUCC